AUUGAACGCUGGCGGCAGGCUUAACACAUGCAAGUCGAGCGGGGAAAGGUAGCUUGCUACCUGACCUAGCGGCGGACGGGUGAGUAAUGCUUAGGAAUCUGCCUAUUAGUGGGGGACAACAUCUCGAAAGGGAUGCUAAUACCGCAUACGUCCUACGGGAGAAAGCAGGGGACCUUCGGGCCUUGCGCUAAUAGAUGAGCCUAAGUCGGAUUAGCUAGUUGGUGGGGUAAAGGCCUACCAAGGCGACGAUCUGUAGCGGGUCUGAGGGGAUGAUCCGCCACACUGGGACUGAGACACGGCCCAGACUCCUACGGGAGGCAGCAGUGGGGAAUAUUGGACAAUGGGGGGAACCCUGAUCCAGCCAUGCCGCGUGUGUGAAGAAGGCCUUUUGGUUGUAAAGCACUUUAAGCGAGGAGGAGGCUACCGAGAUUAAUACUCUUGGAUAGUGGACGUUACUCGCAGAAUAAGCACCGGCUAACUCUGUG
rnacentral:rRNA from 1 species